GGUUGUGGUUCAGUGGUAGCAUGCUUGCCUAGCAUGCAUGAGGCACUGGGUUCAAUUCUCAGCACCA
rnacentral:tRNA from 1 species